CCACUCCUCCACGUUUUUGCACUCUUGGACUCUCACGUUUCUGAGACUCUCAGACUCUCACUUUUCUCACUCCGAAGUCACUCGGUCUCUCUCAAUCGCCGGCUCCACCACUCCUCCUCCUCUCCAAUCUCUCACGAUUUCACGGUCUCACCUCCACCACAACCAUCUUGACAUCGUCUUCUCUCAUGGCUUCGUACCGUGUAGAUUCUAUAGAUGAUGCAAUUGAUUUGGAAUAUGAAUCGGGGGGAAGUAAAUGUGAGGCCGAAAGUGAAGGAGAUCAAGAGGAGGUAAGUGUCUCCCAACUCCUACAAGGUAAACGUAGUAAGGUUUGGGAGCAUUUUAGGCCUUAUCAAGUUAAGACCCUAAUAAGCCUCAAGGAUCGAGAAGGGAAUGUUGUAAAAGAUGAAAAUGAUGAACUGGUAAUGGUUCCACAUGUAAGACUUAGGGCUAAAUGUGUCUAUUGCCCGGAACAUACAAAUGAUGGUGACUAUGCGGCUGAUUCAAGCACUAAUGGUAUCUCCGGAAUGAGAAAACAUCUUAAUCGACAAUGUAAAUAUUAUCAUGCCAACUUAAGGAAAAAUCAAAAACUUCUUUAUGAGGAGAAGAGAGGGGGUAAAACUUUGGUCAAUAGGGAGUUUAACCAAUCCGAUUGUUUGGAAGCAUGUGUAGAGAUGAUUGUUCUUGAUGAGGUACCCUUUAGUACCGUAGAAAAAAUAGGGUUCAAUAGAUUUUGUAGUGUUGCAUGUCCAUUGUUUCGUGUGCCUUCUAGGAGGACUCUUGUUAGAACUUUCCUUAAAAUGUAUGCCCAAUCUAAGGAUAGUUUGAAAAAGGAAUUGUAUGCGCACCGAAUUUCUCUUACCACCGACACUUGGACAAGCACUCAAAACAUCAAUUAUAUGGUCCUCACCGCACACUUUAUUGGGAAAUGUGAUCAUAUUAUGAGUUACUGGAUUGAUAUGGAAGCAGAAAACAAUUAGUUUGUCACGACUGUUUUGUUAAGAUGUUUAUGUGAUCAAUUAGAAUUUAACUAAGAAGCAGCUUCAAUUGCAGAUUACUUAUUUCGUUUGACAUUGAAUAUAAUUUGGAUCCAACUUAUCGAUUUUACGUUAAUUGCUAUGUCCUUGCUGUAUUUGUGCAAAAUAGCAAUUGUGUAGCUUCUAGGACUGCAGGUUACGUAGCAAUUGUGUAGCAAUUUUGUAAAGUUCGGUUUGAUUUGGCAUGCUUUGGAAAAGUUGAUGAGAAGGUGAUAUCAGUGCAUUAAAGUUCCAUUGAAUAGCUUCUAGGACUGCAGGUUAUGUCUUUUUAUGGAGGGGUAUAUGUCAAAUUUUUAAGGUAAUUUCAAGCAUUUUUUUUGGGGCCAAAAAUUGAUUUGGGCCAAAAUCUGUUUGUGAAUCUAGGCCUAAAAUUUAUUUGUGUGAACUUUGUUAAUUUUGGGCCAAAAGUUGAUUUGGGCAUUUUUGUUUACUUAAAUUGAAAAAUAGGCCUUGUUCCUCAUAGCCCAGAACCGAACCGAACCUAUACUUAUACCAAACCGAACCGAACCUAUUAGGUUCGGUACUACAUCGGUACAACCAGUCAUACCGUACCAAACCGUACCGAAAGUUUGUUAUAGGUUCGGUUUCGGUACUACCUCGGUACCGAACCGUGCCCAGGCCUAGUUACAAAUAUUGAACUGACCUAAAACGUAGCCAGAAUUGAGUUUGCAUGAAAAUUUUACCAAAAAGAGGUUUUAACUUUAUGAUGAAUUUUGUAGAACUGGGCAAAACUGAUUUUACAAAUCCGGAGUUAAUAGCAAACUGUUUUUAUGAAACAUGAAAAUUGUUGAGAUUUCACAAGACAUUUUGAGAGUUACUAGCUCCUUUUUGUUGUAGAUUGCUCUAUGUAGAUAUAAAUUAGUGUUUUUUUGGCCUCGUGAUAAUCAUAUGCAAUAUUCUUUUUCUUUCGGGAUUUAUGCCCCUUUGUCAAGCAAAAAAGAUUAAAAAAAAAAUCCUAUUAAGUCAUGUGGAACUGGUCUUCCGAUAAUCGCGCAAACCCUUUCACAAAUAAUUUUUUUUUAUAUAUUAUAUAUAAGAUAUAAAAUUACCAAAGUUUUGUUUGGUGCAUUGAGGUAGGUAUCGAAGAGAUCCACCCUAUCCAAAAACCAGAGACAGCGAGAGAGAGUGGCAUUGAAUUGCACCACUAUUUCGCCUCUCCGUCCUCCCUCUCUGUGUCCGUCAUGUCGUCGACCAGUGCUUUAAGCUCCCGGCUUUCCAACUUCCACCGCCUCACCGACUCCCAGGAUCACCUCUCUUUCCGUGAAGGAGUAAACUCACGUCCAGCCUGUCCUUCAAUUGUUUCUUGGCCUGGUAUUAAGACUGGGAGGACACCCCGUUCGUCCCGUGUGUAUGGCUUAUUUGGAGGAGGGAAAAAGGGUAACAAUGAAAGGGGUGAUGAUGCAGCUUCAAAGGCAGGAGUUUUCAGUAUGCAAAACCUAAACCCUCACCGAAUGACAACAAACCUAAACCCUUCCAUUCCGUCCCAAACCCUACGGACAAAAUUACCCUUCUAAAUUUUAAAAAUUACCCAACCAACCCAGACGGCUUUUUUGUAAUUAAGCUGAAAAUCGAAGGACGUUUAAGUUACUGUAGCUUAUGUUUUUAGAACAGAUACUGUCGCGACCCCUCCUCCUCCUGUUUUUCACUUCUACGGCAUCCUUUUUUACUUCUACUUCAUCCUUUUUUACUUCUACAUCACAGCUCUCUCUUCCAGCGCUCUUUUUCUCAAUGGCGAGGGCGAUUGAACUCGUAAGUCUCUACAUUUACAUUAUUAUUACUGUGUAAAUUUACUAAUUAUUUUGCUAAUUGGCAUUUAAAUUUUUAUUAUUACUAUUAUGGUGUGAAUUUACUAAUUAUUUACUAACUAGCACUUAUAUUUUUAUUACUAUUGUUAUGGUGUAAAUUUGCUAAGUAUUUUACUAACUAACACCUACAUUUUUAUUAUUAUUGUUAUUGUGUGAAUUUGGUGUAAAUUUGCUAAGUAUUUUAAUAACUGACACCUAUAUUUUUAUUAUUAUUGUUAUUGUGUGAAUUUACUAAUUAUUUACUAACUAGCACUUACAUUUUUAUUGUUAUUGUGUAAAUUUACUAAUUAUUUACUAACUAACUUUCACAUCAAGCGCAACGGUGGGUCAUUCAACUUUGUGUUCUCUCCCGCAACCGAAACGAAAAUGAAAAAUAUCUAUCAAGGCAUGAUUCAGGGUUCAAGGAAGGCAACGUAUCACCUGAUGACUGAGGUGGAAGCACUCAAUUGGUCUUGUGCCAUCCGAUUCCCGAUUGAUCACAGGUCAAUCUAUCUGCUGAAGGCUGACUGUGUUUACAAACUCGAAAAUGACCAGUAUAUAGUCUUCACGGACCCAGUAGAAGACACUCUACACUCAUAUGUGAAGAAGAAUGAGAAGAAUCUUUUAGAUCCUAACACUGGGGAGGCCACUUAGGAGUUAAAGAUGAUUUUGAGGGAUGUUGUGAAAGAGCUCACGUUCCUCAGAAAAGAGCACAAUCGCGAGCAUGGGAAUUUGAGUGAGCACUCAAUAUAUGUGGUGAAUGGAAGAGGCCGUCUUGGCCGGUUCUACAUGGACCCGCCCCCGGCGCAUCUCAAAGCCAAAGCCAACUUGUUCCUACCCGAGAUGUUGAUGCAUUCGACUUGUUACCACAAAAUCAUCUUUAACUUCUGAGUGUCCUCUCCAGUGUUAGGAUCUAAAAGAUUAUUCUCAUUUUUCUUCACAUAUGAGUGUAGAGUGUCUUCUACUGGAUCCGUGAAGACCAUAUACAGAUCAUUUUCGAGUUUGUAAACCCAGUCAGCCUUCAGCAGAUAUAUUGAGUUUUGAUCAAUUGGGAAUUGGAUAGCAGAAGACCUGUUGAGUGCUUCCACCUCAGUCAUCAGGUGAUACGUUGCCUUCCUUGAACCCUGAAUCAUGCCUUGAUAGAUAUUUUUCAUUUUUGUUUCGGUUGCGGGAGAGAACACAAAGUUGAAUGACCCACCGUUGCGCUUGAUGUGAAAGUUAGUAAAUAAUUAGUAAAUUUACACUAACAAUAAAAAUGUAAGUGCUAGUUAGUAAAUAAUUAGUAAAUUCACACAAUAACAAUAUUAAUAAAAAUGUAGGUGUCAGUUAGUAAAAUACUUAGCAAAUUCACACAAUAACAAUAAUAAUAAAAAUGUAGGUGUCAGUUAGUAAAAUACUUAGCAAAUUUACACCAUAACAAUAGUAAUAAAAAUAUAAGUGCUAGUUAGUAAAUAAUUAGUAAAUUCACACCAUAAUAGUAAUAAUAAAAAUUUAAAUGCCAAUUAGUAAAAUAAUUAGUAAAUUUACACAGUAAUAAUAAUGUAAAUGUAGAGACUUACGAGUUCAAUCGCCCUCGCCAUUGAGAAAAAGAGCGCUGGAAGAGAGAGCUGUGAUGUAGAAGUAAAAAAGGAUGAAGUAGAAGUAAAAAGGAUGCCGUAGAAGUGAAAAACAGGAGGAGGAGGAGGGGUCGCGACAGUAUCUGUUCUAAAAACCUAAGCUACAGUAACUUAAACGUCCUUCGAUUUUCAGCUUAAUUACAAAAAAGCCGUCUGGGUUGGUUGGGUAAUUUUUAAAAUUUAGAAGGGUAAUUUUGUCCGUAGGGUUUGGGACGGAAUGGAAGGGUUUAGGUUUGUUGUCAUUCGGUGAGGGUUUAGGUUUGCUCCAGUUCCUCUCUCUCGCCGAAUUUAUGCCGCUCGAGCGCGCCCAGUCACUGCUUAUGCUCUUCAAGGCCACCACCCUCCUCUUCGCUUUUGUUUGCUCAAUUUUCAGUUAAUUCGGAUUUGAUUGCGGUUUUUGGGUCGUUGUGUGAGUUAACCCAGUUUGAAUGUUAGUUGAAUAUUGGUUCCUUUUGGUUUUAUAGUGAGGCUGAGGUGCACCGGAGUAAACCCAUUUAACCAUUAGUGAUGCUCGUAUUUUUGGAAGUUCCAUUAUUGAUGGAUCGAUUUUUAAAUUGUUGUAUUGAGAUAUGCAAAGCGCAGUCGCCCACACCACAUGAGUUACCGUUAGUUAUUGAUUUGGAGUACUGUCAUUCACACCCGUGUCGUGUGGGCAACUGCGAUUAACAUUUUCCUUCUUGUCCGUCUGUGACUGCGAGCAAUUGAUUGAGGUGCUGUCCCAUGAGCGAACGUGCGCAUUGUUUAUAUUCUUAUUGACAGUUUAUAUUUUGUUCAAGCACCAUUGCCACCAUCUACUACUUUAAAUUAUCAGGCAGAGCCUUCUUUGCCAGACCUCACCCCUGGUCUAAGGCAAAGUAUGAGAGCCAUUAGCAAAGAAAAGGAAAUAUCAAUCCCCUAAUGAACAAGCAGUUUAAUCUUCUGCCAAGGAAUUCCUUGAGAAAGCAGCUCGAGAGAUUCUUGGUGAUAACCAAGGUGGUCUGAAGAUGACGUACCUAUGAUCUGAUUCCUGUUUUUCCCGGGCUUGCCAAGAUGGACUGUCCUGAUAUAGCACCUCUUUGAAUAUUUCAAUUUUUGUUGUAAUGGUUCCGAAGUCAGAUGGAGAAGCUCUCAAGAAAUCUGUUGAAGAUGGGAAGAAAGUGGAGCUUCUAUUAUAUUCUCCCAAGCAUCGAGUGCUGGACUAGUCUGUUUUCUUCCUGUGGCUGAUGGCUGUUGGAAUUGCUUCAUCUCGGUCAAAGAUUACUGCUCCUGAGAAGUCUGAUGAGAAGUAUAAUGAACUAGCGUAAAAGGUUUUUACAUGCAAGCCUCAUUUCACAGUUUUCACUGCCCGACUUCUUUGUUCCCUAAAUGCUUUUCUCGUAUACAUGUCGAUUUUAAUUCACUUGAACUUUUUGUUUUACAUGAAAUAUUGUGUGGUUAUCAGGGAUGGAUGUAUCAUUAUGAAUGGAAAUGUCGGUGGAUAUUUUGAUAUCGGUAACUGUCAUCUCAAUGGAGAAUGAUUGAUUUAACUUUCACUGAAGUUUCAUUCAAAACUUUCAUCUUUCAAAGGAAAUGUACAUCGAUCAACCUGUUGACAGUCACUGAUGUGACAUAGAAACCGAAACAUCCUCCAAAAAUUUUAGUAGAGAUAUUUCCAUCACAACCCAGAGAGUUUCUUCUCGCAGACCCGAAAAAGAACAGAUAGAUAUCCAUCUGUAUACACACAAAAAGACCAUCUCUCCCCAUAAUUGCCUUUAUUAUUUAUUUGUUUUUAUUUAUUUAUUAUUAUUGGUUAUUAUUCCUCCCCCUCCUCCUCUGUCUCUCUCUCUCUCCUCUGUCUAUCUGGAAUCGAAAACCUUAUCUCCUUUUUUGAUUUGGGUUUUCGUUUCCUUUGCUUAAUCUCUAAGGUUUUAUCUAUGGAGAUUGAUUUAUAGUUUUUUCACUAAAAAAUCGUAUUUUCUAUUUCCUGUUUGGAUGUGGAUUUAUAGUUUUUCACUAUUUAAGGGUCAAAGAUUCGGGCUUUGAGCAGGAGAUGAAAAGGGUUCAACUGGGUUUUGAAUUUGAUCGCUUUUCUCUGUUGAAUUUUGUUAAUUUUUUGUGAUUAAUUCGGGAUUUUGAAGAGGAAGAUGAAAAGGGCUGCUGGCAAUUCCAAGCAGUCUCAGCCUGCUAAUGAGGAAACUAGGAUGAAGUUCAGGCAUGAAAGUCUUCUGCAAGAUUACCUCGAACGACAAAAGUGGAGCUUCUAUUAUAUUCUCCCAAGCAUCGAGUGCUGGACUAGUCUGUUUUCUUCCUGUGGCUGAUGGCUGUUGGAAUUGCUUCAUCUCGGUCAAAGAUUACUGCUCCUGAGAAGUCUGAUGAGAAGUAUAAUGAACUAGCGUAAAAGGAAUCUAAUGCUGGAACAGCCAAAGAUGAUUCUGAGGACGAAGUCAUGAAUCUUAGUGUGGCGAGUGAUGUGUGUUUCAUCAUAACAGCAUUCACUUUUCUGUUGCUACCAUAUUUCGUUAUGUCGACUUGGUUUAUCUGGGUGCUGAUCAUACUUUUCUGCAUUGGCGGUAUUGAGGAAAUGCAUAAUUGUGUUCUGAGCGUGAUUUUGAGGUUACCACGGAACUACUUUGUCUACGCCAUCUUUUGGGUAUUCCUGUCACCCUAAAUAUUCAAAGAUAGAGUCAAGGUUGCGGUUGCUAAAGGUGAUAGUAGCGGUGAAGCCUUAACAAUGCUCCUGAGAAUCCCUCGCUUUUUUAACCCCUGUGGUGGUGGGAAUAUGAUUGGCUUCGGGGACGUUCUGUUUCCUGGUUUGCUUAUUGUGUUUACUUACAGCCCAACACAGACCAAUGAAAUGAUCACCAAACCUCGCAAUCUCGCAUCCCCACCGUCAUUCGUCGGGUGCAAUGCCCAACACUAACAACCGGACAUUCCGGAGGCCGGACGUACUUUAUAGGACCCAUCUCAAAAGAUAGGAGUGAUAAGUAAUGACAGGAUGAGAACGCUUCUUCGGACAGUUCGCCAUGCCUUUUAUUGAUCCACAGAGAUCACCAUUUCCGAGGAAAGAGUGUCUGGUCAGUGAAGCAAAGUCGCUAUUGUUCAAUACAUUCCCAGACAAGUUGUUAAUGGUGGGAUUAUGGUGCACUCAUCCGAACAACAAGGAAAGACCGAAAGCAGAGCAAGUGAUGAAGGUUCUUCCGCUCGAAGCGCCAUUGCCGGAACUUCCACAUGACCGGCGGUGGUACGAUGAUCCAUUGCCUCAAGGCAAUAAUUCAAGUCCUUCAGGUGGACUACUACUGCCUGAAAUUUCGGAAAGACUUGCAUGAUUGUACAUUUUCCAUAAAAUUAACCAUAAGCAAUUUAAAAAGUCCACUUUACUACCCGCGGCAGGGGGAGGAGGGCAUGCGUUCUAGGAUAGAUGCUAAACUGAUAAAGAUAAUGAAAUGAUAAGAAGAGAGAAGACAAGUGUUCUAGUUUGCAACGCUUGGCCUAAUUGACCAAAAUGAGGCAUGUGGUAGUCAAGAAUUGGUCAGUAAAUGACCAUUUGGGACCAAAAUUCAAACGAGAAACAACUCGAUAGAUUUUGUUAGAUUAGUCGGAAAUGCUGGUCUCUGUGGGUCAAUAAAAGGCACGGGAAACUGCCCGAAGAGGCGUUCUCAUCCCUGUCGUUUCUUAUCACUCCUAUCUUUUGCAUAUUCGGGGUACCCCUUCAUGCGCAGGUUAAAUUUCAUAGGGCACUUGGAAAUUUUCGAUCAUGAGGAUUUGCACGACGAUGAAGAGCAAGGGAAGAAAGAACUCAAGUACCCGAGAAUCUCCUACUUGGAACGUGCAACAUUCUCUACUCAAGCAGAAUAUAUGCACUUUUAACUAUUGAACUACAGCCACGCUUGAAAGUUGUAUGCUUAUCGAUUUCCCUUAA